rnacentral:rRNA from 1 species
ACCUGCCGCAUACAGGGGGAUAACAGUUAGAAAUGACUGCUAAUACCGCAUAAGCGCACAGGACCGCAUGGUCCGGUGUGAAAAACUCCGGUGGUAUGAGAUGGACCCGCGUCUGAUUAGCUGGUUGGUGAGGUAACGGCCCACCAAGGCGACGAUCAGUAGCCGACCUGAGAGGGUGGCCGGCCACAUUGGGACUGAGACACGGCCCAAACUCCUACGGGAGGCAGCAGUGGGAAAUAUUGCACAAUGGGGGAAACCCUGAUGCAACAACGCCGCGUGAGUGAAGAAUUAUUUCGGUAUGUAAAGCUCUAUCAGCAGGGAAGAGAAUGACGGUACCUGACUAAGAAGCCCCGGCUAACUACGUGCCAGCAGCCGCGGUAAUACGUAGGGGGCAAGCGUUAUCCGGAUUUACUGGGUGUAAAGGGAGCGUACACGGCUGUACAAGUCUGAAGUGAAAGCCCGUGGCUCAACCGCGGAACUGCUUUGGAAACUGUAAAGCUG